AUGGGCUGGCUCUCCAUAACCCCUUUGCUCUUCACUCCUACUUCCUGGGGGAGGUGGCAGUGUGGGAGAGAAAGGAUUCCUUCUAGAGAACCAGGGAGUGUCAGCCAUGGAGCACCACUCCAGGCUCUCCAGCAGGCAUGGCAGUGGAAGCCUUCACCCAACCUUGACUCUGCCACUGGGAGACAUAGGCAGACACACGGAAGAAGUUUGGACGGCUUCGUGGAGAGGAAGCAUCUGCUAAGACCUCCACACCCUAGUUACCCAUGCUGCACGAUACGCCUUUCCUUUCUCCAAGCACUGUUAAUAACAAUCCCUUUGAUUAAAAAUGUAAAACAAUUACUCAAGGCUCUUACUUGAUUUCCUGACCACCUUGUCAGGUAGUUAUUGGAUGAGAUGAUGCCUGUGAAGGCACUUUGUCAUGGGACAGGUGUAAGGCAGGUGCGUGAGAGCCUUGUUUUACAACUGAUGUCAGGAAAGCACAGGGUAACUGCCUUGCGGUUACCUGCAGUUACCGUCAGGUUGGUUUAACACAGCAACUGAACCCAGGGCUUUGGAAACAGGCAGGUCCGAGGCUGAAUACUCGUCCUUUGUAUAACUGUGUUGUGCUGGGCACAGUGCUCAAAUUCUCUGAGCCUCUGUUUCCUCAUACAUAGACUAAAUGGUGACCCUGAGGUCGUGAAGAUGAAAGGAUAUUUUGAUGUUAGAACCCCGAGUUCAGUGCCUGGCACAUGGCGGUGGCCUGCAGCACUGGAGCCAUCUUACUUGGGCAAAGUUACCACAGCCACCUCCAUCAUGGAAUUUUUGCAUCUGCCUCUUGACUGUAAGUUAUUGGAAUAUCCUGGAACAGCAACAAUGAUAAAGAGAAUCAGACAUAAAAGGAAAAGUAGAGUUCCUCUAUCCUACUCCCAAAUCAACUUAUAGAUGAAGGUUUUGUAGCCCAGAGAAAGAGAGUAGUUUUUCUCAAACACACAGAUGUUUAGGAGGCAGCAACAGGGUGAUCAAUUGCCCUGGCACUGAAGGGUUGCACAGGGUUCAGGACUUUAAAAGCUAAAACCAGGACAAUCCUGGGCAAACCAAAAUAGGCUACUCACUCAAUGCAGUGACAAGAUAAGAUUUUGAUACCCUGAUUUCCAGCCAGACCAGCAGCCUUUUCAACCUAUGAAACAAAUGUUGAAUACCAAAUCCAUCUUCUUUCAGUAUCCAUUUUCUCCAAAACCUCUCCUACUGAUAUGUCUGGCCCCCACACUCUUCUAGAGCCCAGAGAAGAUGAAAGCAUUUCCCCCGACUCUCCACAGGUCUCACCUCCGCCCACCCCCUGGCCCUUCUUAGGCUCAUAGUCCUGGGUGAGACUUCUUUAGGGCUGCUGUGUGGACCAGGAGCUGGGUGAGCUUGCAUCUGUCUGCUGUUAGCCACUUGCCUCUGGGUGUGAUGCUUAGGCCACAUGGAGAAGAGGAAGAAUAAGAGAUAUUUGUGGGAGCCUGGGGUGAUCAUAGAGAAAAUGGGACAAGUGACAUCAGAUCAAAAGCAAAGUUGGGAGAUGGGUUGAGAAAAAGAGUAAAGGGUUGAGAUUGGUGGCGUGAAGUUCUAUAAGCAGCAUACCACAACUUCUUCCAGGACACAGGAAAGCAACAAAGAACUCAUCUCCAGAACAUAUAAAGAACUAUGAAUCAGUGAGAAAAAGACAAAUAAUACAUUAGAAAAAUAGACACCUUAGAAAAAUAGACAGAAGGCUUGCAAAAGGUAUCCAAGUGGUCAGCAAUACAUGGAAAGGUACAAAACUUUAGUCAACAGCGAAAUGCAAAUUAAAACCACACACACUUACCAAAACUAUAAAACUGAAACAUCAAGUGCUGGUAAGAACAUAGAGCAACUGGACCUUUCAUGCUCUGCUAGGAAGAGAAUGAACUGGUACAACUACUUUGGAAAAUUGAGCUGACUGCACACAUAUACCUCAUGAACUAGUAAUUCUUCUCUUUGUGUGCACCCAAACAGCAGUGAAUGCUUAUGUGCACCAAGCAGGGAUAAUGUUCACAGUGGUAUUAUUCACAAGAGCUUCAAACUAAAAAGAACUCAAAGAUCUAUAAAUAGGAUGAUGAAUAAAUAAUUGUGAUAUAAUUACAUCGUAGGGCAUAAUGAAAAUGAAUGACAUUGCCAUAUCUGCAAACGUGGAUUAGGUACAGACAUAGCACCCUCUUACUUCCUCUCUGGAGAAAUAACACCUUUUCUGUUUGUUCUGGGUCCCAUGCAGCACCGAGCCACCUGUUCCAGAACUUUAACAAAUUGACUCCUGCCAAUCUCCUCUCUUUCUGCAGCCUUUCACUUCAUUUUCAGGCCACUUAGUCCAUUUUUUUCCCCCUUUUGUCCUUGGUUCUCAAGACAGCCCAUUUGGGUGGAGCCCUAUUUGGUGACAAGUUGUCAGAACAGCUCAGGCCUUAGUUCUGUUGUGUGAUUUAGGCAACAAAAAAAGAAAAGGAAAAAAAAGAAAUUUGACUGGGGAAAUUAGAUGGAGGUGAUUGCAGCUAAAGUGCCUUUUAUUGAAGCUUUUGGAAAACGUAAAUGUCAUCAGUCUUGUCAGAGCCAGACACAGGAGAAAAUAACAGGACUCAAGGCGGCCAGCGUACAUGCUGGGACUGCACAAACUUAGAAUUAGCCUUCCUAUUUGUUAUUACUUUUUCCUUGUAGGUAGUGGGAGGGAAGGAGGAGGAGAGGAUAAGAUGAAUAGAGGGGGAGAGCAGGGCUCGGUGGGAACCUGGGUGUGAAAUGCCGAACCCGAACGGUGGUGGUGAUUUUUUCACUCCUCUAGACCAUGAAAAACAUCCCUGUGAUUUCUGAGCAACUGAGAUGAGAGUGGCCAAUAGUUGACAGCAUCAGCCUUGGCCUGGAAUUGGAGUUGAGGACAGUGGACUAGGCCGGGCUGGGAAGGCAGAUGUGAUGCUGGGAUGUGUGCUUUCAUCACAGCAGCUGCAGAAUGACCAAGUGUCCUGGCAACACUGGAGAUAACCCUCCAGGAAGGGCCUGCCCAUCAUUCAAAGACCACUGCAAAUCUGUGACACCUGAGACCUGGGUGAACUAUAAAGAAGACCAGAACGAGGCCUUGAACUAGAGCAUGUUGCCAAGAAUCUAGAACUAGGGCUCUGAGGAAGGGUGGGUGUCAGCUGUGGAUCUGUAACAGGAGAGAAAUCAAUACAUGGAAAUCAGUUGAAAGUUGAGUCUGAAACCAAUAGAUUAGUGGGUGAGAAGAAAGGACAGGUGACAUGUGAGUUAACCAGGAAUCUAUGCACAGAUUGAGGUUGGGGCAUAUCAGGUAUGACUCAGGGAGCAGAUCCUUGUUGCAAAGGUCCGGACUGGUGAUGGUCAGCUCUGGCAAGGGCAGGCAGGAGGCAGCAGGUGCUUUACAUUAGGAGGUGGAAGUUUGGGGAAGUGAAAUCGAGCCCCUUGGUUCUGGGCCAAGGCAGAGUCAGGGAACUCAGGUAGAACCCGGUUCGGGUUAUAGGGAACAAAGCAUGACCUUAAAAAGCAAAAUCUGGAAUCCAGUCUUGGAAGAGUAGAAUGUUCGAGGUUAGAGUGGAAGUCUAGUGGCAAUAUUACGUUAAAGAAGAUCUCUGAGACUAUAAUCAAAGCAUCCUCGCCUCUCUGAGGAUAAUAUGAACUCCGUGUUCCAUAGAGGGUUAGACUGUCUGGGAGUUGAGUAACUCUAGCUCCUAAGCUUGGUAGGAUGUGGGGAGCCAAACAGUUUAUUAUGUAAGAGCUUCGUCCAAACAGUUGAUUAUGUGAGUUGACUGUGUCUGGGCAGUGAACUCUAUCCAGAACAUACUGUGUUAAAUCUGAGCAAGCCAGACAACAGAGAGCUCUUUUUUUUUUUUUUUUUUUUUUUGAGACACAGUCUCCCCCUGUGCCUGUCCCCAGGCUGGAGUGCAGUGGCAGAAUCUCAGCUCACUGCAACCUCCACCUACCGGGUUCAAGCAGUUCUCCUGCCU
rnacentral:lncRNA from 1 species